AUACGGAGGACGCGAGCGUUAUCCGGAUUCAUUGGGUUUAAAGGGUGCGCAGGCGGCCGUGCAAGUCAGCGGUGAAAGCCCGGGGCUCAACCCCGGAGGUGCCGUUGAUACUGCGUGGCUGGAAUGCGGUCGAGGCGGGCGGGGCGGGGCGUGUAGCGGUGGAAUGCGUAGAUAUGCCACAGAACGCCGAUAGCGGAGGCAGCUCGCCAGGCCCGCAUUGACGCUCGGGCACGAAAGCGUGGGGAUCGAACAGGAUUAGAUACCCUGGUAGUCCACGCCGUAAACGAUGGGCGCUCGUCGUCGGCGACAGACAGUCGGCGGCCAAGCGAAAGCGAUAAGCGCCCCACCUGGGGAGUACGGUCGCAAGGCUGAAACUCAAAUGAAUUGACGGGG
rnacentral:rRNA from 1 species